GAGAUUCCUGCAUGGAAACUUUUGUGAAGAUGAGGGGGUUGUUCAAAGAGUUUCAGGAAGGAUUAUGCAGCAGUCAUAUUCUAGUGAGUGGUGCUGCUGCUAGAGACAUACAGGGAAUGUGAGAAAGUACCCAGCUUUUUCAAGUAUUGAAGCAGGAAUUAUGGAUAAACAGUUUUUCCUGAUGACUGAAAAUUUGUGGAUAUGGCUUUUUUU
rnacentral:misc_RNA from 1 species